AUGGAUAAAAGUACAGCAGAAAGUGUCUCAAAUCAGUCACCAUCCCUCCAUUCAUCCCUCUCACUCACCAUCCCUCCAUUCAUCCCUCCAUUCAUCCCUCUCACUCACCAUCCCUCCAUUCAUCCCUCCAUUCAUCCCUCCAUUCAUCCCUCUCACUCACCAUCCCUCCAUUCAUCCCUCCAUUCAUCCCUCCAUUCAUCCCUCUCACUCACCAUCCCUCCAUUCCUCCCUCCAUUCCUCCCUCCAUUCAUCCCUCUCACUCACCAUCCCUCCAUUCAUCCCUCUCACUCACCAUCCCUCCAUUCAUCCCUCUCACUCACCAUCCCUCCAUUCAUCCCUCUCACUCACCAUCCCUCCAUUCAUCCCUCUCACUCACCAUCCCUCCAUUCAUCCCUCUCACUCACCAUCCCUCCAUUCAUCCCUCCAUUCAUCCCUCCAUUCAUCGCUCCAUUCAUCGCUCCAUUCCUCCCUCCAUUCCUCCCUCUCACUCACCAUCCCUCCAUUCCUCCCUCCAUUCCCUCCCUCCAUUCCUCCCUCCAUUCCUCCCUCCAUUCCUCCCUCCCUCCAUUCCUCCUCCAUUCCUCCCUCCAUUCAUCCCUCUCACUCACCAUCCCUCCAUUCAUCCCUCUAACUCACCAUCCCUCCAUUCAUUCCUCCAUUUCAUCCUCCAUUCCUCCUUCCAUUCCUCCCUCCCUCCCUCUCACUCACCAUCCCUCCAUUCAUCCCUCUCACUCAACAUCCCUCCAUUCAUCCCUCAUUCAUCCCUCUCACUCACCAUCCCUACAGUCACCAUCCUCCAUUCCUCCCUCUCACUCACUCACCAUCCCUCAUUCAUCCCUCCAUUUCCUCCCUCCAUUCCUCCCUCCAUUCCUCCCUCCAUUCCUCCCUCCAUUCCUCCCUCUCACUCCACCAUCCCUCCAUUCAUCCCUCCAUUCAUCCUCUCACUCACCAUCCCUAGUCACCAUCCCUCCAUUCCUCCUCUCACUCACCAUCCCUAACAGUCACCAUCCCUCCAUUCAUCCUCUCACUCACCAUCCCUAG
rnacentral:lncRNA from 1 species